CACAUUAUUUUUUUUCUUUGAAGCUUAUUUUUUAUAGCUCUGUUUUGUGGAAGCCCUCUUGCUUGAACUAGGGCACAUGCAUACAAGUCAGUAUUUGUUUGGUUUUACCCUCGACCAAAAAAGACGUAGUGAUAGGUCUUGAUGAGUGAUUCAUGGCAAUUUUUGAACAGUUACACCACAAUAGUUUUGAGAGAAUCUUCAGCACACGGUUUACUUCAUCAGGUGUUUUCGUUCCUGAUUUUUUUUUGCAAAUCUCUUUCUUUACUAUGCAGUAGUUUUAUUUGGGACAAUCAUUAUAUGGUUUUACCUUUGUUAAGGAAGGGUUUAAGAAGUUUGUUUGAAAAAAUAAAAGGGGUUUAGCAAAGUUUUGUUAAAUGAAAAAGCUCUCUCUCGGUGUAUGCAUUCUUGUAAAGAGUCAGCUCUUGGGUUUUUAUUUUGUUAUGGGUAAAGGGUUUGUGUUUCUGUGUUGUUAAAAUCAUUUUAUCAAACCCUAUCUUUCAGGUCCUUGUUUUCGGUUUGAGUUAGAGCAAUUGUCAUAACUUAUCAUAGUCUUUGUGGCUCUAUAGUUCGAACCCUAGCUUCUUUUUCUAUCCUUAUGGGGUUUAUGUUUCGAGUGCUUGUUAUUGUGAUGCACAUUCAUAUAUGGUUAAUAUCCUAGUCAAGUUAUUCUUGAUCUAUUAGGUUGUCUUUCUAUAACCUGAGUAUACAUGGUGCUAACAGUUGAAAAUAUUUUUUUGUUUAUAUUCAGUUAAGGACAGUUAUGGAGAAGUUAGUUCAUCUUUCUUUCAAAGAUGUUGAACAUCAUAUGAGAUUUGAUUGAAACCUUUCAAAAUAGAGAGUUGUGCCUGAUCAAAAGAAAAUUUUCUCUCUUGCUAUCUGUUACUUUGCAAAGUUAUUUCAGUUUUACAUAAGCAUUGAUUCAUGUUGUAUAUCUGUUUUUCUUUGAGAAAUAUUUGGAAUGUAUUUGUUUCACUACAGCGUAUCACUAUGUGUAGCUUUAUAUGCAUAAUUAUAUUUUAUACAUGAGCAAACAGGCUCUUUAUAUUAUAUGAUUGUGUAUGUUUAAUAUACACUAUGGUGUAUUGUAAUUUAACUAUUUGAGAUGUACUACUACUUCUAAAUCUCAAUUAAUAUGAGAUUAGAAGAUGCUAUGUAAAGAAGCAUAGAUGACACUCUUUUUAUAAAACUCAAUCAGUAAAGUUAGAAAGCCAGUGAGGCAUUGUAAAAGUGAUUUUUUUCAGAUAAGCCAGUGAGGCAUUUUGAGUAGUUGUAUUCCCCAGAAGGGUUUCCACUUAGGAUAUAUUAUUGUCUCAAUUUGCGUUGUGAUAUUUGUGCAUGAUUUUGCAUCUACUUGUCAUUUCAUGUUGAUUAUGUUUUUCAAACUACAAAAGUUUUACAAGAUCGAUAAUUGACUAUCAACAUUGAUUCACCCCACCCCCCUCUCAGUGUUGAUUGUACUCCAACAAGUGGUAUUGGAGACAAACCCUUGUUGAAAAGAAAACUAGGGGUUUCCUGGUAGGAGUACUUAUGGCUAGUCAAGAGGGUCAAUCAUCUGUUGGAGCACCUUUAUUUAAUGGUUUUGAUUAUGCUUUCUAAAAGUUUAGAAUGAAAAGGCAUUUAACCUCUCUAGGAUAUAAAGUUUGGUUUGUUGUUGAAAAUGCAUACACUUCCAUUACAACACCUUCCACUCCUGAUGAGGAGAAGGAAUGUGAGUGUGAUUCCAAAGCCUUUAAUUCUAUUUGUUGUGGCUUAACUAAUGAUGUCCUGGUUAAAAUCAUGGAUUGCAAAAAUGCUAAAAUUGUCUAGGAUAAACUCUCACAUAUCUAUGAGGGUGAUGAACAAGUUAAAGAAGAAAGUUACAAACCUUUAGAGCUAGGUUUGAGAGUUUCAUAAUAAUUGAAAAUGAGAAAAUUGUAGGUUAUUUAUUGAGAGUUCAAGAUGUUGUGAACUCUAUAAGAGGUCUUGGUGAGGAUUUGAAAGAACCAAUUGUAGUUAAAAAGGUGUUGAGGUCUCUAACACCUAAAUUUGAUUCCAAAAUCUCUUCCUUAUAGGAAAGAGAUAUCAACAAAGUCACUUUAGAUGCUUUGCAUACUGUUUUUACAACUUAUGAAAUGAGAAUCAAUGACAAUUGCUCUACUAGUAGAGAAUUUUCUUUUAAGUCUGUCAAAAAGGAUAGUGAUAGUAUGUGUGAAUCUGAAAAUCUAGAUGAACAUGACAUGGCUUUUGUCAAAAAACUAAGAAGAGGGUUUGGUAAAUAUAAAGGGAAGUUACCCUUUAAGUGUUUCGAUUGUGGCAAGAUCGUACAUUAUGAUUCUCAAUGUCCAAAUAAGGAUCUAAGUGACAGUGAUGAUGAGGGCACUAGAAAAUUAGAAAAGAAAAAAAUCACUAAUUUCAAGAAGAAGAAUGUCUUCAAAAAGAAGAAGAGUCUAUAUGCAAAUGUUACAAAUAGUCUUUCUGAUGAAUCUAUUCAAGAAGGAGAAGAAACACUAUUCAUGGCAAUAGUGACUCCAAAUACCACUCAGGAGGAAAUUGAUUCAGAUAAAUUUGCAUCUGAGAUUGAUCUUGAAGGAGAGUUAAGAAGUGCUCUCAAGAAAAUAAAGAAAUUAAGAAAAUAAGUCAUAACCUUAAAGAUCAGAAUCAAAAUCAUGAAAAACUCAUUUCGGAUCUAACAUUACAGAUUGAAGAGGACAAAACAAUUCUUGAGGUAACUCAAGGAAAAUUCAAAGACAAAGAAGAAGAAUACUGCUCCUUAGAAGCAAAGAUUGUAAAUGUUCGAAAGAAGCUGGACAAGUCAUCUGACUUUGUGAAUAAGUCUUGCAGUGACAAGAAGCUUUCUGAAGGACAAUGCUCAAAACAAGCUGAAGCUGAGAAGGAGAUUGACAAGAAAUGAAAGGAGGAUCAUGUGUAAAGAUUAAGAAAAGCCUUGUAUGGCUGAAAACAAGCUCCAAGAGCCUGGUAUGCCAAAUUAGACAAACAUUUGCAGGAACAAGGUUUUCUCAAGGGUGUUGUUGACCGUAACUUGUAUUUUAGAUAAAAGGGGAAAACAUGCUUAUUGUUGUUGUUUAUGUAGAUAACAUCAUUUUUCGUAGUGAUGAUACAAAUUUGUGUUCUAAAUUUCCUCAUCUCAUGACAUCUAAAUUUGAAAUGUCUAUGCCGGGUGAACUCUCUUUCUUCUUGGGGUUACAGGUCAAUCAAUUGGAUAAAGGGAUAUUCAUAUCUCAAACUAAAUAUGCCAGAGAAAUGUUAGACAAAUUUCAGAUGAAUGGGUGUAAACCUAUUGGUACACCUAUGGAAACAAAUUGUAAGCUUAAACAGGAAGUAGAUCAGCCUAAUACAGAUCAUACUUUGUAUAGGUCUAUGAUUGGCAACUUAUUAUAUUUAGCUACAACCAGACCUGAUAUUAUCUAGUCUGUAUGUUUGGUCUCAAGAUUUCAGUAAUCACCAAAGAAAUAUCAUUUAGAUGUUGUUAAAAGAAUUUUGAGAUAGAUCUCUGGUACUCCUGAUUAGGGGGUUUGGUAUCCUAGGUAUAAUGAUUUCACUUUAGUUUCCUAUUCUGAUGUUGAUUGGGCAGGUUGUUUGGAUGACAGAAAAAGAACUUCUAGAUGUUCUUUCUUCCUUGGUGAUAGAUUGAUGGCUUGCCAUAGUAAGAAUAAGGAUUCAGUAGCUAUGUAUAUAGCAGAGGCUGAAUACAUUGCACCCACUUCUUGCUACACUGAGGUUCUAGCAAAUGAAGUUGUUCUGCAUUUUGUGUCCUCCAAAGAUCAAGUGGUUGAUAUUUUCACCAAGCCAUUACCCAAAGAGACUUUAAUUGAGGCAUUAAGAGAUAAACUUGGUGUCUUAUCUCUCAGUUUUGUUUAGUGAUUUACUCCAAUUCAUGGAGUAAGGGGGAGCAUUUCAUGCACAUUUUUUUUACCCUAGUGGCAUUAAAGUAAAUUUAUGAUGCAUUAUCAUACCUGUGAUAUUUUUAUGCACCAUAUGCGUGCUUUCAAUUUUUUUUGUUGGUUUCAGCUUCUCUCCUUUGGCAUUAUUGUCAAAAGGGGGAGAAAUGGCUAUCCUAUCAUGGUUCAAUAGUGCUUUAUGGCAGUUUUAUGAUAGUUUUAUGCAGUCAACAGUGAUUUGUGAAAGUUUUAUGCAAUCAGCAGUGAUUUGUAACAGUUUUAUGCAGUCAACAAUGAUUUGUAUUUGUGAUUCAGCAGUUUAGUUUUUCAUAUGGUACCAUAGCAUAUUUUUCAUGGCAUACAUGGCAUAUUCUUUCAUAUGGUAUCAUGGCAUAUUUUUCAUGUCAUACAUGGCAUAUUUAGUUUUGAUUUAGUAUCAUGGUAAUAUUCUUGUGAUUUAGUGAUCUUGUGGUUUGACAUCUCCCUUGAAGUCAUAGGAUACACUUGACAAGAUUGUGUUUUACAUGGGUAUUCAGGUAUUGCAGGUAUAUUGUUCUCCAGACUUUGGUUAUAUUUGACACCAAUGCUAAAGGGGGAGUUUGUUAACCCCUAGGCAUUUGUGUCAAAUGAUUUGAAAGCUUGUUAUAAUUGGCAUUUCAUGUUUAUCCUACAUUGCUUGGAAAGGUUGAUUUGUGACACAAUUGUAUACAUGUGAUUAAGUGACUAAGGGGUCGUUCAACAUUUAAGUCACUUAGGUGACUAGGUAACAUAAUGUGAUGUUUCCCACCAAUAUAAACCUAGCGGGCAUAAUGUUUUUGCUUUAUAAAUUCCCAUCGAAAUACUCGGUGAGUAGGACAUGACAUAUUAUCGGCAGGGCAUAUUAUUUGUUUGUUUUGAAGCUUAUUUUUCAUAGUUUUGUUUUGUGGAAGUCCUCUUGCUCAUACUAGGGCACAUGAAUACAAGUCAGCAUUUUAUUGCUUUUA